GCAGUCGGUGGCGAAGUAGUCACCGAGUACUCAUCGCCACGUUCAUUGUCUUGGCAGGUGCUGCUUUAGCCGCCGUGAAAUAACCUGGAGCAAGCUUCUGCGGCUGCGCAAUUCUUCGUCCCAAGCAUGGCCCGAGUAUUCAACUGGAAGGUUUAGGCGGUGUUCCUGAUUGCCCGCUAAGCUGCUCUCCAAAGUGGCCGCUGCUAGCUUCGACAUCGCACCGAACCGUGGCGCCUGGAUCCUUUAUCGGACUAUAAAAGACGAUUCGCUUCGAAUCAACAGUGCUCCGCAGUCGGUGGCGAAGUAGUCACCGAGUACUCAUCGUCACGUUCAUUGUCUUGGCAGGUGCUGCUUUAGCCGCCGUGAAAUAACCUGGAGCAAGCUUCUGCGGCUGCGCAAUUCUUCGUCCCAAGCAUGGCCCGAGUAUUCAACUGGAAGGUUUAGGCGGUGUUCCUGAUUGCCCGCUAAGCUGCUCUCCAAAGUGGCCGCUGCUAGCUUCGACAUCGCACCGAACCGUGGCGCCUGGAUCCUUUAUCGGACUAUAAAAGACGAUUCGCUUCGAAUCAACAGUGCUCCGCAGUCGGUGGCGAAGUAGUCACCGAGUACUCAUCGUCACGUUCAUUGUCUUGGCAGGUGCUGCUUUAGCCGCCGUGAAAUAACCUGGAGCAAGCUUCUGCGGCUGCGCAAUUCUUCGUCCCAAGCAUGGCCCGAGUAUUCAACUGGAAGGUUUAGGCGGUGUUCCUGAUUGCCCGCUAAGCUGCUCUCCAAAGUGGCCGCUGCUAGCUUCGACAUCGCACCGAACCGUGGCGCCUGGAUCCUUUAUCGGACUAUAAAAGACGAUUCGCUUCGAAUCAACAGUGCUCCGCAGUCGGUGGCGAAGUAGUCACCGAGUACUCAUCGUCACGUUCAUUGUCUUGGCAGGUGCUGCUUUAGCCGCCGUGAAAUAACCUGGAGCAAGCUUCUGCGGCUGCGCAAUUCUUCGUCCCAAGCAUGGCCCGAGUAUUCAACUGGAAGGUUUAGGCGGUGUUCCUGAUUGCCCGCUAAGCUGCUCUCCAAAGUGGCCGCUGCUAGCUUCGACAUCGCACCGAACCGUGGCGCCUGGAUCCUUUAUCGGACUAU